rnacentral:rRNA from 1 species
ACGCUUCUUUUUCCNCCGGAGCUUGCUCCACCGGAAAANNANNANGUGGCGAACGGGUGAGUAACACGUGGGUAACCUGCCCAUCAGAAGGGGAUAACACUUGGAAACAGGUGCUAAUACCGUAUAACAAUCGAAACCGCAUGGUUUUGAUUUGAAAGGCGCUUUCGGGUGUCGCUGAUGGAUGGACCCGCGGUGCAUUAGCUAGUUGGUGAGGUAACGGCUCACCAAGGCCACGAUGCAUAGCCGACCUGAGAGGGUGAUCGGCCACAUUGGGACUGAGACACGGCCCAAACUCCUACGGGAGGCAGCAGUAGGGAAUCUUCGGCAAUGGACGAAAGUCUGACCGAGCAACGCCGCGUGAGUGAAGAAGGUUUUCGGAUCGUAAAACUCUGUUGUUAGAGAAGAACAAGGAUGAGAGUAACUGUUCAUCCCUUGACGGUAUCUAACCAGAAAGCCACGGCUAACUACGUGCCAGCAGCCGCGGUAAUACGUAGGUGGCAAGCGUUGUCCGGAUUUAUUGGGCGUAAAGCGAGCGCAGGCGGUUUCUUAAGUCUGAUGUGAAAGCCCCCGGCUCAACCGGGGAGGGUCAUUGGAAACUGGGAGACUUGAGUGCAGAANAGGAGAGUGGAAUUCCAUGUGUAGCGGUGAAAUGCGUANAUAUAUGGAGGAACACCAGUGGCGAAGGCGGCUCUCUGGUCUGUAACUGACGCUGANGCUCGAAAGCGUGGGGAGCAAACAGGAUUAGAUACCCUGGUAGUCCACGCCGUAAACGAUGAGUGCUAAGUGUUGNAGGGUUUCCGCCCUUCNGUGCUGCAGCUAACGCAUUAAGCACUCCGCCUGGGAGUACGACCGCNAGGUUGAAACUCAAANGNAUUGACGGGGGGCCCGCACAAGCG